AAGAGAGACGGGGGCUUCGGCCCCCAAACCUCCAACCCAUUGUGAACGAUACUUUUAGUUGCUUUGGCGGGGCGAGGUCGCAAGGCCCCGUUGGCCCUUAGCUGGGCUGACGUGCCCCCGCCGAAGGAUCUUAAAAUUCUUGCUUUUAAAACCGUGAAGUCUGAACAUUUUGAAAAAUCAAAUAGCGAUA
rnacentral:misc_RNA from 1 species